ACGAUCCUGUAAUGUACGUGAAUCUAUUGUUUUUAACCCACAGAGAUAAUACGGGAGCUCGUGUUUGAUCUUUGGAUGUUAUGCCCUCAAUUUAGAGGGAAGGCAGAAUUAGACAAUAGAGCACCCACCUGCCAAGAGGCGGGUAUAAAAAUAGUAGAAAAACGGCAUUAUGGGAAUAGU
rnacentral:other from 1 species